UACGAGGGUGCAAGCGUUGUUCGGAAUUAUUGGGCGUAAAGCGCGUGUAGGCGGCAUGGCAAGUCGGGUGUGAAAGCCCUCAGCUUAACUGAGGAAGUGCGCCCGAAACUGCUUUGCUUGAGUGCUGGAGAGGGUCGCGGAAUUCCCCAAGUGAGAGGUGAAAUUCGUAGAUAUGGGGAGGAACACCGGUGGCGAAGGCGGCGGACCCUGG
rnacentral:rRNA from 1 species